UACACAUGCAAGUCGAACGGCAGCGCGGGGCAACCUGGCGGCGAGUGGCGAACGGGUGAGUAAUAUAUCGGAACGUACCCUGGAGUGGGGGAUAACGUAGCGAAAGUUACGCUAAUACCGCAUACGAUCUAAGGAUGAAAGCAGGGGACCGCAAGGCCUUGUGCUCCUGGAGCGGCCGAUAUCUGAUUAGCUAGUUGGUGGGGUAAAGGCCCACCAAGGCAUCGAUCAGUAGCUGGUCUGAGAGGACGACCAGCCACACUGGAACUGAGACACGGUCCAGACUCCUACGGGAGGCAGCAGUGGGGAAUUUUGGACAAUGGGCGCAAGCCUGAUCCAGCAAUGCCGCGUGAGUGAAGAAGGCCUUCGGGUUGUAAAGCUGUUUUGUCAGGGAAGA
rnacentral:rRNA from 1 species